rnacentral:rRNA from 1 species
ACGCACGCUGGCGGCGUGCUUCACACAUGCAAGUCGAACGGAAAGGCCCCUUUGGGGGUACUCGAGUGGCGAACGGGUGAGUAACACGUGAGUAACCUGCCCUUGACUUCGGGAUAACUUCAGGAAACUGGGGCUAAUACCGGAUAGGAAUCCUUGCUGCAUGGUGGGGGUUGGAAAGCUUCGGCGGUUUUGGAUGGACUCGCGGCUUAUCAGCUUGUUGGUGGGGUAGUGGCUUACCAAGGCUUUGACGGGUAGCCGGCCUGAGAGGGCGACCGGCCACAUUGGGACUGAGAUACGGCCCAGACUCCUACGGGAGGCAGCAGUGGGGAAUAUUGCACAAUGGGCGGAAGCCUGAUGCAGCAACGCCGCGUGCGGGAUGACGGCCUUCGGGUUGUAAACCGCUUUCAGCAGGGGCGAAGCUUGUGGUGACGGUACCUGCAGAAGAAGCACCGGCUAACUACGUG